rnacentral:rRNA from 1 species
UAAUACAUGCAAGUCGAGCGAGCGGAACCAACAGAUUUACUUCGGUAAUGACGUUGGGAAAGCGAGCGGCGGAUGGGUGAGUAACACGUGGGGAACCUGCCCCUAAGUCUGGGAUACCAUUUGGAAACAGGUGCUAAUACCGGAUAAUAAAGCAGAUCGCAUGAUCAGCUUUUGAAAGGCGGCGCAAGCUGUCGCUAAGGGAUGGCCCCGCGGUGCAUUAGCUAGUUGGUAAGGUAACGGCUUACCAAGGCGACGAUGCAUAGCCGAGUUGAGAGACUGAUCGGCCACAUUGGGACUGAGACACGGCCCAAACUCCUACGGGAGGCAGCAGUAGGGAAUCUUCCACAAUGGACGCAAGUCUGAUGGAGCAACGCCGCGUGAGUGAAGAAGGUUUUCGGAUCGUAAAGCUCUGUUGUUGGUGAAGAAGGAUAGAGGUAGUAACUGGCCUUUAUUUGACGGUAAUCAACCAGAAAGUCACGGCUAACUACGUGCCAGCAGCCGCGGUAAUAC